rnacentral:lncRNA from 10 species
AAUGCUGAUGCUAGGCAACACCUCAGACCUACUGCUCAGACCCUCCAGGGGCAGGGCCCAGGAUUGAAGAGGGAAGCCCUGCUCCACACGUGUUCAUCAGGAAGGACCCACAGACUGCUGCUCCUGGAGGCCUCUCGGUUUAUGGAUGUGUGUUUGUUCCAUAAACCCUCAGAGGGUCACCUGGAGACCCGCUAAAAUGCAGGUUCUUGGGCCACAUCCUAGACCUUCUGACCGACCCAGGGAGUGGGGCCCAGGAAGCUGCAUUUGACAGAUAUCCCCGUGUGAUCAUCAUGCACACAGGAGUGAGAGAACCAGUGUUCUCCCCGGGCAGAAGGGAAGCUCGUGUGCAGGACACCUCACACCUCCUUUCCCAUUCCCCUGCCAGGCUCUCCCUGCUGACAUUGUUUUUGCGGGAGAGCUGUGAAUUCUGAAGAUUAGGUUGCUUCUCACCCCAAGCUCCAGAAGUCCAGGCUGAGCCAAACCAAGCUUCAAGUUCCUAUUGGCUCUGUUUUCCUGAAGAAGCCUGGCCAAGACACUUUGUUUAAAGCAGAAGGGUGAGUGUACACAUUUAAUUUAAACUACCCUUCACUGGCAUUACCACACCUAGCAGUGAGCAUUGCACAUCUUAUAUGCUUCAUAAAUAUUUGAGUGGAAACCAACAAUAAGGCUAAAAUGCUGAAUGGCUUUGCCAGAUGUAGUAUUUAUUUAAACUAUUGUUUUGUUUUCUUAUGAGUCAUUGAAUGGGAAGGAACUGAAAUUGUCUUGAAAUUGUGAGUGGGUAGAGAGGGCUGGGAGCAAUGGGUGGUGAGGUAUCCCCCAUUUCUAAAGAUUCUGUGACCCACAUUAUUCCAGAAAUUCUAGUUUGUGUUUU